GACGAACGCUGGCGGCGUGCCUAACACAUGCAAGUCGAGCGAAUGAAGUUCCUUCGGGAACGGAUUUAGCGGCGGACGGGUGAGUAACACGUGGGCAACCUGCCUCAUAGAGGGGAAUAGCCUUCCGAAAGGGAGAUUAAUACCGCAUAAGAUUGUAGUACCGCAUGGUACAGCAAUUAAAGGAGCAAUCCGCUAUGAGAUGGGCCCGCGGCGCAUUAGCUAGUUGGUGAGGUAACGGCUCACCAAGGCGACGAUGCGUAGCCGACCUGGGAGGGUGAUCGGCCACAUUGGGACUGAGACACGGUCCAGACUCCUACGGGAGGCAGCAGUGGGGAAUAUUGCACAAUGGGGGAAACCCUGAUGCAGCAACGCCGCGUGAGUGAUGAAGUAAUUCGUUAUGUAAAGCUCUAUCAGCAGGGAAGAUAGUGACGGUACCUGACUAAGAAGCUCCGGCUAAAUACGUGCCAGCAGCCGCGGUAA
rnacentral:rRNA from 1 species